UCUAUUUUAUAGAGAAAUUAUACAUUUACACAUUAACUUAUUUUGCUUUUACAACUCUAGUAGGACAUGACAUAGUAAUUAAUAAGGACUCAAUCCUGCAAGAUGCUGGGCACCCUUAACUGCCAUAGGAGUGAAGGGUGUUCAGCACUUCACAGGAUUGAGCCCUUAGCGCCCAUGUGACUCCUUUAAAUUCAAGAAGUGCAUAGACUCUAGUGCUGCAGUUACAUACAUGUGUAGAGAGCUAUGGAGAUUUUGACAGUCUGUCACAGGAUGUUCUGCAUACUAAAAUGAAUCCAGGACACAGUACCGGCUGCCUGAAUGUAGGUAGGAGGAUCAAUAUGUUUUGCAGACAAGGAGAUUAAUCUAGAGCAACAAGCUAUUUACAGUGGUGCCAAUCACAGGAGGAUGUUUAAUCAAUCUGGCUGGUUUCAGCAAUAUUUUCAUCAGACAAGCUUGCAGAAAGAGCACCUGACCUGCUGUACCUGACUUGCUGCCUAUUAAAGUACCGAAGUACCUGACCUGCUGCCUAUAAAAAGUAUUAUUUAAGAGGGUGACAUUAUGAACCCCCUUGAGAGAUACUGAGACCCUCUGAUUUGUAUCAAUAAAUUUUGUAACCUGAGAUUUUCCCAAAUAAUGCAAUGGUUUGUAAUAUGUUGGUGAUGUGCUGAAGGAGGUUGGUGAUGAAUAAAAGUAGA